rnacentral:misc_RNA from 1 species
CAAAGGAGGGAUUCAGUGCCCGUCUCCCCCGCUCCCCUCUUUCUCUCUAUCUCUCUUGCUGUCUAAAACUAGAAAGAGAAAUCAUCGAUGGAUUUUACUUCGUUUCUUGGGCGAGUCCUCUUUGCCUCAGUUUUUAUACUUUCUGCUUACCAAGAGUUUAAUGAAUUUGGGGUUGAUGGGGGACCAGCAGCGAAGACUCUCAAACCAAAGCUUGAUGUGUUUACAAGCCAUGUCCACUCUCAUGCGGGCGUACAUGUACCAGAAAUUGAAAUCAAACAGUUAAUCACUACAGCUAUAGUUGUCAAGGGCAUUGGAGGCAUCCUUUUCAUUUUUGGCAGUUCUUUUGGAGCCUGUCUCCUGCUUCUGCAUCAGAUAAUUGCUACUCCAAUAUUAUAUGAUUUCUACAAUUAUGACAGUGAAGAGAAAGAAUUUAAUCAACUUUUUAUCAAAUUCACACAGAAUAUGGCACUUUU